rnacentral:rRNA from 1 species
GAUGAACGCUGGCGGCGUGCUUAACACAUGCAAGUCGAGCGAAAAGUUUUGAAAAGUUUCUUCGUGUCAAAUUUAACAUGGAAAGCGGCGGACGGGUGAGUAACGCGUAGGCAACCUGCCCCAUACUCAGGGAUAGCGUUUGGAUACGAGUAUUUAUACUUUAUGACAUUUAUCUAUUGCAUGCUAGGUUGGUCCAAGCUUUAUUGGAUUGGGAUGGGCCUGAGUCUGAUUAGCUAGUUGGAGAGGUAACGGCUCACCAAGGCGACGAUCAGUACCCGACCUGAGAGGGUGAACGGCCACAUUGGAACUGAGACACGGGCCAAACUCCUACCGGAGGCAGCAGUGGGGAAUAUUGCAAAAUGGGGGAAACUCUGAUGCAGCAACGCCGCGUGAACGACGGAUGCCUGUGGGUCGUAAAUGUCUGUGCUAGGAGAUGAAAACUGACAGUAACCUAGGAGAAAGCCCCGGCUAACUACGUG